GCCGGGUGCGGUGGCUCACGCCUGUAAUCCCAGCACUUUGGGAGGCUGAGGCAGGUGGAUCACUUGAGGUCAGGAGUUCGAGACUGGCCUGACCAACAUGGUGAAACCCUGUCUCUA
ensembl:misc_RNA Metazoa_SRP Metazoan signal recognition particle RNA